UAAGCCACUUCUUUUUGCAGUUACCGGCAAUAGCGCCGGCAGCAGAGGCAGGUCCUCUAGUAGAGGUGGAGUUCGCGGCGACAGCUUUAGGGGGCGUGGAAAUGACGGUGGCGGUCGGGGCUAUGGUAGGAACGAGUUCAGAACUCGGGGGGAAUAUUCAGGUCGCCCGAGAGGCUCCCUCGAGUCGUACGAGCACCAUAGGGAACAGGAACAGGAGCAAGAGCAGGAAAAGGAAGAGGAAAGACACUUCAAGCAGGAACAGGAACAAGAAAGCCACUUCAUGCAGGAACGGGAAUUAGAGCCGAGGAGAAGGCUGGGGACAGUGUCGUUCCAAUACCUGGGCUUCUACAGUUUCCUGCACUGCAUCCUCCCCUGCUUUUUCCCGUAAGAUUGACAGCCGCCUCAAACAGGAAGUAAAGCAGAGGAGGAGGCUGUGAAGAGCGUCGUUUUCGACAGAAUGUGACGUCAAUUGCGGGUAAAGACUGGCAAGCUGGCCGGAUUAUUUGGCAGCGGAACCGGAGAACCCCCUCCCUGUAAGUAAUGAAUGCCAAUGGCGUCUAACAAAGCAUACCCAGAAGAACAAAGGCCACCUUGUCUGUACUGUUGUUUUGCCUAGAAGGCAUUUGUUUCUCUAACUAGUCUUUGCUAUUAAGUUCGGGCUUUGCCUCCCAAAAGUUGAGAGAGAUUUGAACUCCUGGCUUAAGCCAGAGUGCAGAGUCAGUUUCUGCUGCUCAUUUAGCUUUCGAUAUGUGCAUUGAGUCUUGGUUUGAACACUUGCCAUGGUCAUUUAUGUUAAUAUCAUAUUGUUUCUCUC